rnacentral:lncRNA from 1 species
UGCUAUAUGAGCCACAUGGUGCUAGUUACCGGUGGGAUGCACGGUCUUCCUCCUCACAGAGGGUCUUCUUGGUUUCACAUGGGAGGUCACAACAUGUGCCUCUCCAUCUUUCUUCUUCGCAAACGCCCCAUAACGUUGCCUUCUUCUCUGGUUAGACGCCCUUCUCUAACCCCUUCUUCUAAACGCAUCCCCAUAUUCACCA